rnacentral:rRNA from 1 species
UUUAUCCUACGGGACGCAGCAGUGGGGAAUAUUGCACAAUGGGGGAAACCCUGAUGCAGCAACGCCGCGUGAGUGAAGAAGUAUUUCGAUAUGUAAAGCUCUAUCAGCGGGGAAGAAGAUGACGGUACCUGAGUAAGAAGCCCCGGCUAACUACGUGCCAGCAGCCGCGGUAAUACGUAGGGGGCAAGCGUUAUCCGGAUUUACUGGGUGUCAAGGGAGCGUAGACGGCGAUGCAAGUCUGAAGUGAAAGGCGGGGGCCCAACCCCUGGACUGCUUUGGCAACUGUAUGGCUGGCGUGCAGGGGG